AAAGAACUAACAAGGAUUCCCCUAGUAGCGGCGAGCGAAGCGGGAAAAGCUCAAAUUUGUAAUCUGGCGUCUUCGACGUCCGAGUUGUAAUCUCGAGAAGUGUUUUCCGUGAUAGACCGCAUACAAGUCUCUUGGAACAGAGCGUCAUAGUGGUGAGAACCCAGUACACGAUGCGGAUGCCUAUUACUUUGUGAUACACUUUCGAAGAGUCGAGUUGUUUGGGAAUGCAGCUCAAAUUGGGUGGUAAAUUCCAUCUAAAGCUAAAUAUUGGCGAGAGACCGAUAGCGAACAAGUACCGUGAGGGAAAGAUGAAAAGCACUUUGGAAAGAGAGUUAACAGUACGUGAAAUUGUUGGAAGGGAAACACAUGCAGAGUGAUACUUGCUAUUCGGGGCAACUCGAUUGGCAGGCCCGCAUCAGUUUUUCGGGGCGGAAAAGCGUAAAGAGAAGGUAGCAAUUUCGGUUGUGUUAUAGCUCUUUACUGGAUUCGCCCUGGGGGACUGAGGAACGCAGCGUGCUUUUAGCAAUUCCUUCGGGAAUUCCACGCUUAGGAUGCGGGUUUAUGGCUGUAUAUGACCCGUCUUGAAACACGGACCAAGGAGUCUAACAUGCUUGCGAGUAUUUGGGUGUCAAACCCGGAUGCGCAAUGAAAGUGAAUGGAGGUGGGAAGCGCAAGCUGCACCAUCGACCGAUCUGGAUUUUUUAAGAUGGAUUUGAGUAAGAGCAAGUAUGUUGGGACCCGAAAGAUGGUGAACUAUGCCUGAAUAGGGCGAAGCCAGAGGAAACUCUGGUGGAGGCUCGUAGCGGUUCUGACGUGCAAAUCGAUCGUCAAAUUUGGGUAUAGGGGCGAAAGACUAAUCGAACCAUCUAGUAGC
rnacentral:rRNA from 1 species